rnacentral:rRNA from 1 species
GUCGGGAAUUUUGGGCAAUGGGCGAAAGCCUGACCCAGCAACGCCGCGUGAGGGAUGAAGGCCUUCGGGUCGUAAACCUCUGUCGGGAGGGACGAAAGGCGCGCGGGUGAACAAUCCGCGUACUUGACGGUACCUCCAAAGGAAGCGCCGGCUAACUCCGUGCCAGCAGCCGCGGUAAUACGGAGGGCGCAAGCGUUGUUCGGAAUUACUGGGCGUAAAGCGCGUGUAGGCGGCCAGGUAAGUCGGGUGUGAAAUCCCGGGGCCCAACCCCGGAACUGCACCCGAUACUGCCCGGCUGGAGUCCCGGAGAGGAUGGCGGAAUUUCCGGUGUAGAGGUGAAAUUCGUAGAUAUCGGAAGGAACACCAGUGGCGAAGGCGGCCAUCUGGACGGUGACUGACGCUGAGACGCGAAAGCGUGGGGAGCAAACAGGAUUAGAUACCCGGGUAGUCC